UAGCCAAUGGAACUUCUCUAAGGGCAGGAGGGAGGUUUGGCUUACAUGUUUUAAUGCCAAUGAUAUAAGAAUUUAAGGCUGUUCUUAGUAGACUGUACAGAUAAAAAAGGGAAGGGGCAAGGACUGACUUACCUGCUUAUUAGCACAUUAUAACCUGAAACAGUUUUUAGAGAAAAAGCCAUAAAUAUUCUUACAAGAAUGGUUUUGCCAAAUAUUUUUAUAAUAAGAUCUGCAUCAUGAUGGAAACACAUAUUCUAGGCAAAGGUGUUUAUUGCUUUUUGUUUUUUAAUCAUCCACAUUGUUCUUGCAUGUCAUUUUCUCUGUCGUUUUAAUCUAGCUCACUUUAAGAGAGAGGGAGUAAAGUGGUUCGUAGCCAUGUACCUCCCUCUUUCUCACCCAGACACAGAGCAAUUGAACUUCCUUUCAGAAAACAAAACUAGAAUACCAGUCCACGGCUUGUAUAGUUAAACUGUGUAUCCCUUGAUGUUUAUGAGUUCUCAAAACUCCAAGGCAUGUAAUUUUACCUAGUAUGAUAGAGAAAAGCAUAGCUAAAAAUGUUUACAUUCCUUCAGACUAUUGAUAAGAACAGUAAUCUCGAAGUAUCGAUUCUAACUCAUUUAGAAUAUCACUUACUAUUAGAUGAUUGCCUACCCGUGCCAGACUUGCUGUUGAACAAUUCAAGUUCAUGCUUUAGCAACAGGGUAAAGGCAUCAACAUUCAGAGUCACUGGGUCGGGGGGAGUAAAAAUGUGGGUAAGUCUAAAUUGCUGUAUCCACUGGUAUUGUCUGAUACCCCGUACCAUGAUAAUGUGCCGGAUCUUCCUUAGUUUUUAAAUUUGCUACACUGAUGGAAUUGUUUUAUUGUUAGCUUUAAAGAAACAUCAGUGUCAUCCAUAGGAGUGAUAAAUGAAAGCUUAAAAAUUAACUGUAGCCCUGGCUCGGUGGCUCAGUUGGCUGAAGCAUUGUCCAGUACAAUAAACGGUUGCAGGUUCGAUCCCCACUCGGGAUUCAUGCUGAAGGCAACCAAUUGAUUCGUACAUCGAUGUCUCUCUCUCUCUCUUUAAAAAUCAAUAGCAACAUAUCCUUGAAUGAGGAUUUAAAAACUUAACUGUAAGUGAAAGGGGAGUUAAAAACUCCCUUUGUUGUUUAACAUUACUUCGAUGGAAAGCUUAUAGCUUUGAUUUA